rnacentral:rRNA from 1 species
UGCCUAAUACAUGCAAGUCGAGCGGACAGAAGGGAGCUUGCUCCCGGAUGUUAGCGGCGGACGGGUGAGUAACACGUGGGUAACCUGCCUGUAAGACUGGGAUAACUCCGGGAAACCGGAGCUAAUACCGGAUAGUUCCUUGAACCGCAUGGUUCAAGGAUGAAAGACGGUUUCGGCUGUCACUUACAGAUGGACCCGCGGCGCAUUAGCUAGUUGGUGAGGUAACGGCUCACCAAGGCGACGAUGCGUAGCCGACCUGAGAGGGUGAUCGGCCACACUGGGACUGAGACACGGCCCACACUCCUACGGGAGGCAGCAGUAGGGAAUCUUCCGCAAUGGACGAAAGUCUGACNGAGCAACGCCGCGUGAGUGAUGAAGGUUUUCNGAUCUUAAAGCUCUGUUGUUAGGGAAGAUUUUUUGUUUUUUUUAACUGCUUGCACCUUGACGGUACCUAACCCCAAAGCCACGGCUAACUACUUGCCAUCAGCCGCGGUAAUUCUUAGGUGGCAAGCGUUGUCUUUAAUUAUUGGGCCUAUAGGGCUCGCA